CCUCGGGGGUUGUGACACAUGGCGCCAUUGUAUCACAGCCCUGCUUGGGACA
rnacentral:pre_miRNA from 1 species